AGCAGCCGCGGUAAUUCCAGCUCCAAUAGCGUAUAUUAAAGUUGUUGCAGUUAAAAAGCUCGUAGUCGAAUUUCGAGACCGGUUUAUUGGUCGUGCUUUUGUACGUACUGGUAUUAUUGGUUUCUCCUUUCUGACGAAUCUUAAUGCCAUUAAUUUGGUGUUUUGGGGAAUCAGGACUGUUACUUUAGAAAAAAUUAGAGUGUUUAAAGCAGGCUCACGCUUGAAUACAUUAGCAUGGAAUAACGGAAUAGGACGUUUGAUUCUAUUUUGUUGGUUUCUAGGAUCGACGUAAUGAUUAAUAGGGAUAGUUGGGGGCAUUAGUAUUCAAUUGUCAGAGGUGAAAUUCUUGGAUUUAUUGAAGACUAACUACUGCGAAAGCAUUUAGCCAAGGAUGUUUUCAUUAAUCAAGAACGAAAGUUAGGGGAUCGAAGACGAUCAGAUACCGUCGUAGUCUUAACCAUAAACUAUGCCGACUAGGGAUCAGAUGAUGUUUAAUUUUUUAAUGACUCAUUCGGCGCCUUACGG
rnacentral:rRNA from 1 species